rnacentral:snRNA from 1 species
CAGACUUUACUGAGAAGGCGAA